rnacentral:tRNA from 1 species
AAGGUUUUAGCUUAAUUAAAGCGCUUGUGUUGCAAGCAGGAGAUGUUAGAUAAUACCUAGCAAGUCUUA